CAGCGCCACGAGUGGCAAUCGUGUAUUUGGCCUAAAGCGUCCGUAGCCGGAUUUGUAAAUCUUUUGUGAAAUCGUUGCGCUCAACGUAACGGCGUGCAGAAGACACUGCAGAUCUCGAGACCGGGAGGAGAUAGAGGUAUUCUAGGGGGAGCGGUAAAAUGCUAUAAUCCCUGGAGGACCACCAGUGGCGAAGGCGUCUAUCCAGAACGGAUCUGACGGUGAGGGACGAAAGCCAGGGGAGCGAACCGGAUUAGAUACCCGAGUAGUCC
rnacentral:rRNA from 1 species